rnacentral:rRNA from 1 species
AGAGUUGAUCCUGGCUCAGGAUGAACGCUGGCGGCGUGCUUAACACAUGCAAGUCGAGCGAUGAAGUUUCCUUCGGGAAACGGAUUAGCGGCGGACGGGUGAGUAACACGUGGGUAACCUGCCUCAUAGAGUGGAAUAGCCUUCCGAAAGGAAGAUUAAUACCGCAUAAUGUUGAAAGAUGGCAUCAUCAUUCAACCAAAGGAGCAAUCCGCUAUGAGAUGGACCCGCGGCGCAUUAGCUAGUUGGUGGGGUAACGGCCUACCAAGGCGACGAUGCGUAGCCGACCUGAGAGGGUGAUCGGCCACAUUGGGACUGAGACACGGCCCAGACUCCUACGGGAGGCAGCAGUGGGGAAUAUUGCACAAUGGGGGAAACCCUGAUGCAGCAACGCCGCGUGAGUGAUGAAGGUUUUCGGAUCGUAAAGCUCUGUCUUUGGGGAAGAUAAUGACGGUACCCAAGGAGGAAGCCACGGCUAACUACGUGCCAGCAGCCGCGGUAAUACGUAGGUGGCGAGCGUUAUCCGGAUUUACUGGGCGUAAAGGGAGCGUAGGCGGAUGAUUAAGUGGGAUGUG